UACGAAGGGGGCUAGCGUUGCUCGGAAUUACUGGGCGUAAAGCGCACGUAGGCGGCUUUCUAAGUCGGGGGUGAAAUCCUGGAGCUCAACUCCAGAACUGCCUUCGAUACUGGAAAGCUCGAGUCCGGGAGAGGUGAGUGGAACUGCGAGUGUAGAGGUGAAAUUCGUAGAUAUUCGCAAGAACACCAGUGGCGAAGGCGGCUCACUGGCCCGGUACUGACGCUGAGGCGCGAAAGCUAGGGGAGCAAACGGG
rnacentral:rRNA from 1 species